rnacentral:rRNA from 1 species
AGUGAACGCUGGCGGCGUGUUUAACACAUGCAAGUCGAACGAGAACGGAUUAUAGCUUGCUAUAAUUGUCAGCUAAGUGGCGCACGGGUGAGUAAUGUAUAGGUAAUAUGCCUUUUACUAAGGAAUAACAAAUGGAAACGUUUGCUAAUACCUUAUACUCCUUAUUAACCUAAGUUAAUAAGGGAAAGAUUUAUUGGUAAGAGAUUAGCCUGUAUUGUAUCAGUUAGUUGGUGGGGUAGUGGCUUACCAAGACUAUGACACAUAACUGGUUUGAGAGGAUGAUCAGUCACACUGGAACUGAGACACGGUCCAGACUCCUACGGGAGGCAGCAGUGGGGAAUAUUGCACAAUGGACGGAAGUCUGAUGCAGCAACGCCGCGUGGAGGAUGACACAUUUCGGUGCGUAAACUCCUUUUAUAUGAGAAGAUAAUGACGGUAUUAUAUGAAUAAGCACCGGCUAACUCCGUGCCAGCCGCCGCGGUAA